UCACUCUGGUUUCUCUUCGAUUCCACGCAUAAAUCUUUCGCCUUUUACUAAAGAUUUCCGUCGAGAGGAACACUCUAAUGAGUCUAUGGUCUCAUUAGGGAGUUUUUUUUUUGUUAUUC